rnacentral:rRNA from 1 species
GGUGAACGCUGGCGGCGUGCUUAAGACAUGCAAGUCGAACGGCAGUCUUCGGACUGUAGUGGCGCACGGGUGAGUAACGCGUAACUGACCUACCCCAAAGUCGCGGAUACCGAUUCGAACGAAUCGCUACUACGUGAUGUGCUGUCAGAUCCUGUUCUUCCAGUAAAGAUUGAUUGCUUUGGGAUGGGGUUGCGUUCCAUCAGCUGGUUGGUGGGGUAAAGGCCCACUAAGGCGACGACGGAUAGCCGGCCUGAGAUGGUGGCCGGCCACAGGGGCACUGAGACACGGGUCCCACUCCUACGGGAGGCAGCAGUUAGGAAUCUUCCACAAUGGGCGAAAGCCUGAUGGAGCGACGCCGCGUGAGGGAUGAAGGUCUUCGGAUCGUAAACCUCUGAAUCAGGGACGAAAGACACUUCGGUGGGAUGACGGUACCUGAGUAAUAGCACCGGCUAACUCCGUGCCAGCAGCCGCAGUAACAC